GAUGAACGCUAGCUACAGGCUUAACACAUGCAAGUCGAGGGGCAGCGAGAAAGUGCUUGCACUUUUGUCGGCGACCGGCGCACGGGUGAGUAACACGUAUGCAACCUGCCCUUGUCAGGGGGAUAAGCGGGGGAAACCCCGUCUAAUACCGCAUAUAUGAUUUGGAGGCAUCUCUGAAUCAGGAAAGAAUUAUCGGACAAGGAUGGGCAUGCGGGACAUUAGGUAGUUGGGGGUGUAACGGACCACCAAGCCGACGAUGUCUAGGGGUUCUGAGAGGAAGGUCCCCCACACUGGUACUGAGACACGGACCAGACUCCUACGGGAGGCAGCAGUGAGGAAUAUUGGUCAAUGGGCGCAAGCCUGAACCAGCCAAGUAGCGUGAAGGAAGACUGCCCUAUGGGUUGUAAACUUCUUUUGCGAGGGAGCAAUAAGGCGCACGUGUGCGUCGAUGAGAGUACCUCGCGAAUAAGCAUCGGCUAACU
rnacentral:rRNA from 1 species